rnacentral:misc_RNA from 1 species
GAUGAAGAACGUAGCGAAAUGCGAUAAGUAAUGUGAAUUGCAGAAUUCAGUGAAUCAUCGAAUCUUUGAACGCACAUUGCGCCCCUUGCUAUUCCGAGGGGCAUGCCUGUUCGAGCGUCAUUAUAACCCUCAAGCUCAGCUUGGUGUUGGGGCCUGCUGCACUGGCAGCCCUUAAAAUCAGUGGCGGCGCCAUCUGGCUCUAAGCGUAGUAAUUCUUCUCGCUAUGGAGUCCUGGUGGAUGCUUGCCAUCAACCCCCAAUUUUUCUAUGGUUGACCUCGGAUCAGGUAGGGAUACCCGCUGAACUUAAGCAUAUCAAUAAGCGGAGGA